rnacentral:rRNA from 1 species
AUUGAACGCUGGCGGCAUGCCUUACACAUGCAAGUCGAACGGUAACGCGGGGCAACCUGGCGACGAGUGGCGAACGGGUGAGUAAUGCAUCGGAACGUGCCCGGUAGUGGGGGAUAACUGCUCGAAAGAGCAGCUAAUACCGCAUACGACCUGAGGGUGAAAGGGGGGGAUCGCAAGACCUCUCGCUAUCGGAGCGGCCGAUGUCGGAUUAGCUAGUUGGUGGGGUAAAGGCCUACCAAGGCAACGAUCCGUAGCUGGUCUGAGAGGACGACCAGCCAAACUGGGACUGAGACACGGCCCAGACUCCUACGGGAGGCAGCAGUGGGGAGUUUUGGACAAUGGACGCAAGUCUGAUCCAGCCAUGCCGCGUGCGGGAAGAAGGCCUUCGGGUUGUAAACCGCUUUUGUCAGGGAAGAAACGCUCCGAAAUAAUACUUUGGAGUAAUGACGGUACCUGAAGAAUAAGCACCGGCUAACUACGUGCCAGCCGCCGCCGUAAAAC